rnacentral:rRNA from 1 species
UGCCAGCCGCCGCGGUAAUACGGAGGGUGCAAGCGUUGUCCGGAUUUAUUGGGUUUAAAGGGUACGUAGGCGGAUUUUUAAGUCCGUGGUGAAAGCCCAUCGCUUAACGAUGGAACUGCCAUGGAUACUGGAAAUCUUGAAUUCAGUUGAGGUAAGCGGAAUUUAUGAUGUAGCGGUGAAAUGCAUAGAUAUCAUAAAGAACACCUAUUGCGAAGGCAGCUUACUGGACUUGGAUUGACGCUAAGGUACGAAAGCGUGGGGAGCGAACAGGAUUAGAUA